rnacentral:rRNA from 1 species
GAUGAACGCUGGCGGCGUGCCUAAUACAUGCCAGUCGAGCGAACAGACGAGGAGCUUGCUCCUCUGACGUUAGCGGCGGACGGGUGAGUAACACGUGGAUAACCUACCUAUAAGACUGGGAUAACUUCGGGAAACCGGAGCUAAUACCGGAUAAUAUAUUGAACCGCAUGGUUCAAUAGUGAAAGACGGUUUUGCUGUCACUUAUAGAUGGAUCCGCGCCGCAUUAGCUAGUUGGUAAGGUAACGGCUUACCAAGGCAACGAUGCGUAGCCGACCUGAGAGGGUGAUCGGCCACACUGGAACUGAGACACGGUCCAGACUCCUACGGGAGGCAGCAGUAGGGAAUCUUCCGCAAUGGGCGAAAGCCUGACGGAGCAACGCCGCGUGAGUGAUGAAGGUCUUCGGAUCGUAAAACUCUGUUAUUAGGGAAGAACAAAUGUGUAAGUAACUAUGCACGUCUUGACGGUACCUAAUCAGAAAGCUACGGCUAACUACGUG